rnacentral:rRNA from 1 species
AGUGAACGCUGGCGGUAGGCCUAACACAUGCAAGUCGAACGGCAGCACAGUAAGAGCUUGCUCUUACGGGUGGCGAGUGGCGGACGGGUGAGGAAUACAUCGGAAUCUACUUUUUCGUGGGGGAUAACGUAGGGAAACUUACGCUAAUACCGCAUACGACCUACGGGUGAAAGCAGGGGAUCUUCGGACCUUGCGCGAUUGAAUGAGCCGAUGUCGGAUUAGCUAGUUGGCGGGGUAAAGGCCCACCAAGGCGACGAUCCGUAGCUGGUCUGAGAGGAUGAUCAGACACACUGGAACUGAGACACGGUCCAGACUCCUACGGGAGGCAGCAGUGGGGAAUAUUGGACAAUGGGCGCAAGCCUGAUCCAGCCAUACCGCGUGGGUGAAGAAGGCCUUCGGGUUGUAAAGCCCUUUUGUUGGGAAAGAAAAGCAGCAGGUGAAUACCCCGCUGUUCUGACGGUACCCAAAGAAUAAGCACCGGCUAACUUCGUG